rnacentral:rRNA from 1 species
GACGAACGCUGGCGGCGUGCCUAACACAUGCAAGUCGAACGGAGAUUUCAGCAAUGAAAUCUUAGUGGCGAACGGGUGAGUAACGCGUAGACAACCUGCCUUUUAGAUGGGGACAACACCGCGAAAGUGGUGCUAAUACCGAAUGUUGUAUUUUAAUCGCAUGAUUGAGAUACUAAAGAUGGCCUCUGUAUAUGCUAUCGCUAAAAGAUGGGUCUGCGUCUGAUUAGCUAGUUGGUGAGGUAAUGGCUCACCAAGGCGACGAUCAGUAGCCGGUCUGGGAGGAUGAACGGCCACACUGGGACUGAGACACGGCCCAGACUCCUACGGGAGGCAGCAGUGGGGAAUCUUCCGCAAUGGACGAAAGUCUGACGGAGCAACGCCGCGUGAGUGAAGAAGGUUUUCGGAUCGUAAAACUCUGUUUUCAGGGACGAAUGUGCAGCUUGUAAAUAAUGAGUUGUAAUGACGGUACCUGAGUAGAAAGCCACGGCUAACUACGUGCCAGCCGCCGCAGUAA